rfam:Anaerovibrio lipolyticus strain 5S contig00267, whole genome shotgun sequence.
GUCUUGGUCUCGCGCAAGGCAGCCUCAUGAACCUCGUCAGGUCCGGAAGGAAGCAGCGAUAAGUGAAUCGUUGUCUGUGCCGUGAGGUAGCCUGGGUACU